GUGCGAUUUCUAACCGGGCGACAUUCGUUUCUCGAUUCUCUGCUAAGUUCCUUCAACUUCGCAACCGUUUCGCGAAUAUUUUCGCCUUUUAUUUAUGUUAUUUCCGCGAAAUAUCCGUUAGAAUUUUCGUCUUUCAUAGUUGUUCGCAUAUCUAGUUUUUCACCAUUCUAAACUGGCCAUCUCGUCCCAGCCAUGGGGCCUUUUACCCUAAAUUAUCGCCUAGUUUCAAACACUCGAUGAUUAAAAAUUUGCGAAUUUUUUUUCCACCGUACAAACAUGUGAAUAUAAUUUAACAUUGUGCUGUUCGUUUCGGUUUAAAGUACUCGAUUUGUCAACAAAAAAAAUUGACAAUUUUUUUCAACUCUUUUGCCAAUGUGAACGUUGCCAAUCCAGCUCAUGGAAUCGUCUCAACCCUGCAAUCAUAAGGGUGAAUUUCUACCCUCGAAUCAGGCCUCGUUCGAAGAAAACCGCCAAAAAAUGAUCUCACUUAUCAUUGAAAUUUGACUCCUCGUGUCGUCGUGGAUGAAUUCGCAAUGACAGCGAUCAUCGUACCUACGAGUAGGUACGUAUGUGAAAAUGCAUCCACCAGCAGCACCCACGAACAUAAUGGAAAUUCCUCAGCCACGACGACGAGACGGAUUGUCGAAUCGCAAUCGUUUGAAAAAGGAUACCAGAGUAAAAAUGGCGACUAUUACGAUGAUGAGGAAACUGUCGAAUAUGCAAUUUGAUGCAAAAUACACGUACGAGAGUAAAGAUUUUUACCGAAUGAAAUUUAAGAUGAAAAAAAAUAUGAAGACAUCAUAGAGUAAAGAACGACUCCAACUGAAGAUAUUGAUCUCAUCACGUUUAAAUCACCCUAUAAGUAGGUACUUACAUGUCUAUAAGAUUACACUUCUGAUACUUGCUCAAUACUGACUGAUCGGUGUUUAUAAUAUAUUUUCAUUAGUCAGAAUAAGUAUAUAUUUUUUAUAUUGUACUUCCUUAAGAAUUUUUUUUAGCAUGGCCAUAAUAUUUACUAAUUAUUGCUGUUUUCAUGCUUAGUCAGCUUUUUAAAAAGUGAUACCUGAUAAUUUUAAGUAUACGAUUUUUUAAGUUUUUUUUGGGAAAGAAUAUGCCAUUGGUAGACAAUCUGUAUUCGUUUAAGCAAUAAUCUCGUACGAGUAAAGUUCUUAUACAAUUAAGGCUCAUUUUAAGUUAAGAAUUAUUCGAUGUCGCGUAAGAUAUUGGACGCUUUGAAAUGCUGUAUCAGCAUAAUUGUACUAGAGGAAUUUUCACCAACGUUAUUAUAUAGGUAGUUUAAUUAUCUCUAAUGUAUAAUUAUUUUAUUUCUAGUGGAAAUUAUGUGCAAUAAGUUUUUUUUUGUUCGAAUAUUUUUUGGUAUUCGAUUAGGUAAAUUAGAAAUUGCUGUUGUUGUUUUUGUUGAGUUUUGAAUAAAAUUUAAUUAUUUUACUGUU